rnacentral:rRNA from 1 species
AUUGAACGCUGGCGGCAUGCCUUACACAUGCAAGUCGAACGGUAACAGGUCUUCGGAUGCUGACGAGUGGCGAACGGGUGAGUAAUACAUCGGAACGUGCCUAGUAGUGGGGGAUAACUACUCGAAAGAGUGGCUAAUACCGCAUGAGAUCUACGGAUGAAAGCAGGGGAUCGCAAGACCUUGUGCUACUAGAGCGGCCGAUGGCAGAUUAGGUAGUUGGUGGGAUAAAAGCUUACCAAGCCGACGAUCUGUAGCUGGUCUGAGAGGACGAUCAGCCACACUGGGAAUCAGAAACGGCCCAGACUCCAACGGGAGGCAGCAGUGGGGAAUUUUGGACGAUGGGCGCAAGCCUGAUCCAGCAAUGCCGCGUGCAGGAUGAAGGCCUUCGGGUUGUAAACUGCUUUUGUACGGAACGAAAAGCCCCGGGUUAAUACCCUGGGGUCAUGACGGUACCGUAAGAAUAAGCACCGGCUAACUACGUGCCAGCCGCCGCCGUAA